AAAAAGGAUGGAGGGUUAUUGAAGUUGGAAGGAUCUAAAGAAGGAAGAAAAGGGGUGUUGUCUAUUGAUGCAGAAAUCUUUGAGGUAACUCCAAAUUUUCACUUUGUUGAGAUGAAGAAAUCGAAUGGAGAUACGAUAGAGUACAAGAAGACGAUGAUGAAGGAUGUAAGACCAGCAUUGGAAGAUACUGUAUGGACUUGGCAAGGUGACGAACCG
rnacentral:misc_RNA from 1 species